rnacentral:tRNA from 2 species
GCUGACGUAGCUCAGUUGGUAGAGCACAUCCUUGGUAAGGAUGAGGUCACCGGUUCAAUCCCGGUCGUCAGCUCCA